CUCUUAUCUAGACCACUUUUUGUAUUUAGCCCCACCAUCUGGUAGGCUUCUCACUACAGAUGGAGAGCGGAAGGAGGGAAGGAGGCAGGCAUUUGAGAUAAGAGUUCAGGUGAGGCAGUAGAGUCCCCUCCUUCUUACCACUGUCAACACAAUUCAUUCAUUCAAACAAACAAACAAACAAACCCCAUCUCCUUCCAGGCCCCAUCUACUCUGUUGGUCCAGAGGAGAGGUCAAGGCACCUGGAGCCUGCUGCUCCUCUCCCAUGCUUUGACAAGCUUCACAUAUUUGGAGAGAGCAGGUGAACAUGCCAAGGCAUCAGAGCAAAGGGCUGGCAGUGGGCCUCCUGCUGAUGUGUGAGCCUUGGCAGGUGCCCAUCAAAGCCAAAUCCUGAUGCUGGUCCUGUCGUGGCAUAGCUUUAGUGAGCUUCAUAUCACAGAGGGGAUUUGAACCUGGGUCUCUCCAGUUCUAGUAUAAUACUUGAACUGCUACACUAUGCUGACUUUCACUUGUUUAGCUUUGCUCACAUCCCAUAGCUCAGUGGGAGAGCAUUUGCUCUGCAUGCAGAUUCAAUUCCCAGCAGCUCUAGGUUGGUCUCUGAAAUCCUGGCGAGCCACUUUUAUAGUGUAAACAAUACUAAGCUAAAUGGGCAGUAUAAGGCAGCUUCCUCUGUUCCUUCAUUACUUUUGUGCUCUUCAUCCAUGCCCACCACUGCCCCAACCCUUCCAGAAUCAAAAUGUGUGCCCCUAUCUUACGUGUGUUUGCUCAGAAGUAAACUGAGUUCAAUGGAACUUGCUUCCUUGUAAGAAUGCUUAGAGUUUUCAGCCUUGGCUACACCUCAAUCUCCUUCCUGCCAACCGCCCGCAAAUGUAUCAAGUUCAGAUGAAUUAAGUGAGCAUGAGUAUUUGUUGACAUCACAGAAUGUAUUCCAAGCACAAAAUCCAUCUUCCUUUUGGCAAGAUUCUGACUUGCUGGUCAGACCACUCAUAUAUCCCUAGAUAGAGCCUUUUAAUAAAAAAAACGAGACCUAUUUAUCUUCUGAGUCAAUACGUUCCUUUCAGUGGGAAAGUGGACAGUCCUCCUUUUCCACGAAACUUCCAAAAAUAGUUUGGCCUGAGAUAUUUUUUCCUAACGAUUUUUGACAUAGCCAACUGACAUUUCUGUUGACGUGCCAAGUGAGAUGGGUUGCUGAUUAAAGCAGCUUGAUCCCACCCUUCACAGGCAGGAGCCCUCCCAGGGUGCUGUCUCUUUCCCCCCAAACAGAUCUGCCUUUGUUUUUGCCUUGCCAGCACCCUCCAUUAAUAAAAAUGAAGCAAUGUGUCUGGUAUGCGCUUUUAUCAUUAAGAUAACUGCUGCGUUCUUUUACAAAAGUUUGCUUUAAAAUAUGCUCCUUGCAUUAUAUGAUAUAAGCUUUUGAAGCCAGGAAGAUAAUACAAUGUAUUUAAAAUGCAGGAAUUGAAAUUAGGGUGGGUUUUUGUUUGUUUCUUUGUUUGUUUACAUAUGCACAGUUGGGCCUGAGUCAAAUGUACUUCAUUAAAUCAUUUCCUUCCUUUUGGCACAGUGGUAAAAAAAUGUGAUUCAGUCACUAAAGUUAAGGUCAUGUCUUUGCUCCGUGCAAAACAAUGGAUGGUUAGUUCUCAUUUCCGACCCACACCUGGAAUAUUCAUUGCAACAGCCGUUUGAUCUGCACCAUCCUGUUCAAUCUGAGUUUUAGCAUGACACAAAAGCAAACACUGUACUAAAGUAGCCGUGGAUUUAGGCUACAGUACAGAACACUGAAGGGACAUGGGUGGGGCUGUGGGUUAAACCACAGAGCCUAGGGCUUGCCGAUCAGAAGGUCGGUGGUUCGAAUCACCACGAUGGGGUGAGCUCCCGUUGCUCAGUCCCUGCUCCUGCCAACCUAGGAGUUCGAAAGCAGGUCAAAGUGCAAGUAGAUAAAUAGGUAUCACUCUGGCGGGAAGGUAAACGGUGUUUCCAUGCACUGCUCUGGUUCGCCAGAAGCGGCUUAGUCAUGCCGGCCACAUGACCCAGAAGCUGUACGCCGGCUCCCUUGGCCAAUAAAGCAAGAUGAGCGCCACAACCCCGGAGUGACUCACGACUGGACCUAAUGGUCAGGGGUCCCUUUACCUUUACCUUUUACCUUUACAGAACAUUGACAUCAUGCUGUAGUAUUCGAAGACAGUUCAGGAACUGUCCCUGAUGCAAAAUGUGGCUUCCAGAUAGUGAUUUGGAACCUGCAGGUAAUGAUUGCCAGUUGGUUUUUCAACCCAGUUUGAAGAACUGCUUUUGACCAUUGCAGAAGUAAAUAGCCUGAGGCCAAGAUAUCUUGAGCCCCAGCUUCUACCACAUUAAGAUCAACAGCAGGUGCCCUUUUCCAUGUCCCAGUACCACCAGCAGCAAGUUCAGCAAAUGUGUGCACGAGACAGAGCCUCUUCAGUUGUAAUGUCAGCAUUGUGAAGUGCCUUCUUGGACGAGGUCUGCUUGAUCUUAAACCAGGGGUAGUCAAUGUGGUACCAUGUUGUUGGACUCCAGCCCCCAUCAGUUCCAGCCAGC
rnacentral:lncRNA from 1 species